CUCUUCUCGAUACUCAUAAUCCACUGGCUUGAGUUUCUGGGGUUGAAGAGGAGGAGGAGGAGGUCUGAUGGGGUCAGUGCAUCUUCUCCACCAGACACUCAGCCAUAGUGCUGGGCCCUCUGGACUAUCAGCUCAAACUAACCUUUCUUCAAAUUCACUGACUUAUGCCUUGUGUCAUGGCAACAGAAUCCCCCGAUUACACAGUCCCCAAUGCUGCAA